rnacentral:lncRNA from 1 species
CUUGACCACUGUGUCACCUCCCUUUUUUGUAUUUUAUUUAGAGACAGGGUCUCACUGAGUUGCUUAGUGCCUUGCUGCUGCUGAGGCUGGCUGUGAACUAGCAAUCCUCCCGCCUCACCUCCCAAGCCGCUGGCCUUACAGGCUUGUGUCACGGUGCCUGGCUGGAUCUGGGUUUUAAACUGAGUGAAAUGGGAGCCCUGGGCAGGUGCUGUGCAGAUCUGACUCAGAUUUUCACAGGUGUCUUGGUUGGCUUCUGUUGCUGUAACAGAUACCUGGAAGAGGGAGUGUUCAUGUAUCUGUAAACACGAGAGGUUUAUUUAGAGCACAAUACUGGAGCUGGAAAGCCCAACAGCAUGGUGCUGGCAUCUGCUCGGCGUCAGCCUGGCAUCUGGUGAGGGCCUCAUGCUGCGUCACCAUGGCAGUGCAAGCCGUUGGCUCAGGUCUCUCUUCCUCUGAUAAAGUCACUGAUGUGUUGCCACCAAAGGUGGCACAGACCUAUAAUUCCAGCAAUUUGGGAGGCGGAGGCAAGUUCCAGGCGGAGGCAAGUUCCAGGCCAGCUGGGCAACUUGCAAGAUCCUUAGCUACUUAGCACGUCCCUGUCUUAGAAAAUAAAAAGGACUGUGGAUGGGGCUGGGCUGGGGCUCAGUGGUAGAGCAUUUGCCGAGCACAGGUGAGUUCCUGGCAGACCCUAACGCUGAGCCACUCCCAUCCACAGAGACCAGGUUUCUCAACCAAAGCUGUUUUACCU